ACAUUAUGGUUCCCACCAGUGUCUUACUGUUGCUGACAGCUGCAUCCUAUGUUCAGUCGGAUGUUGAGCUCACUCAGCCCAGCUCCAUAGUAAUUAAGCCUGGGGACCCUCUCACCAUCCCCUGUAAGGUGUCUGGAUAUUCUCUUACUUCAUGCUGUAACUACGCGACGGCAUGGGUUCGACAGCCUGCAGGGAAAACACUGGAGUGGAUAACAGACAUAUGGGAGAAUGGACAUAUUUACAAGGCAGAUUCCCUGAAGAGCAAGUUCAGCAUCUCUAAAGAUCCCUCCAGCAGCACAGUGACUCUGAGAGGGCAGAACCUGCAGACUGAAGACUCAGCUGUCUAUUACUGUACCAGGCGACCACUGUGAUACCAACCAGUAGAGGACCUGAGCAAAAACUUUACUGACACAAUAUAAAUGCUCGAGUAGAAUUAAUUAAACAUGUUUAAGCACAGUGUAGACAAUUACUCAGCAUAUUACAUUUCCGGGGGUAAAUAGCAUUAAAAUAAAGUGAAAUAAAUAUUCAGAAAAUGUGAAAUGGGUGGGCUCCAUGUACCUAUCCAAACCAAGCCCGAACUGUGCUGACAUCACUAGUCCCUCUUGCCCCCUCUUGGCCAAUCAACGCUGCAGUACUUAUUUCAGCUGGUAGAGGGCAGCCUAUGAAAACUCUCAUUCACCUUUUUAAC